CCUACGGGUGGCAGCAGUAGGGAAUCUUUCACAAUGGGCGAAAGCCUGAUGGAGCAACGCCGCGUGCAGGAUGAAGGCCUUCGGGUUGUAAACUGCUUUUAUAAGCGAGAAAUAUGAUGGUAACUUAUGAAUAAGGAUCGGCGAACUACGUGCCAGCAGCCGCGGUCAUACGUAGGAUCCGAGCAUUAUCCGGAGUGACUGGGUGUAAAGAGUUGCGUAGGUGGCCUAAUAAGUAGCUAGUGAAAUCUGGUGGCUCAACCAUUCAGACUAUUAGCUAAACUGUUAAGCUCGAGACCGUUAGAGGUAACUGGAAUUUGUAGUGUAGGAGUGAAAUGCGUAGAUAUUGGGAGGAACACCAAUAGCGUAGGCAGGUUACUGGGACGGUUCUGACACUAAGGCACGAAAGCGUAGGGAGCAAACGGGAUUAGAUACCCUUGUAGUC
rnacentral:rRNA from 1 species